AGUGGCAGACGGGUGAGUAACAUGUGGGUAUCUACCCUUUGGCCUGGAAUAACACGAGGAAACUUGUGCUAAUACCGGAUAAGUCUUUACGGAGAAAGCUUUAUGCACCAUUGGAUGAGCCCGCACUUGAUUAGUUUGUUGGUAGGGUAAUGGCCUACCAAGACUAUGAUCAAUAGCUGAUUUGAGAGGAUGAUCAGCCACAUUGGGACUGAGACACGGCCCAAACUCCUACGGGAGGCAGCAGUGGGGAAUCUUGCACAAUGGAGGAAACUCUGAUGCAGCGAUGCCGCGUGAGUGAAGAAGGCCUUUGGGUUGUAAAGCUCUUUCGUCGGGGAAGAAAAUGACUGUACCCGAAUAAGAAGGUCCGGCUAACUUCGUGCCAGCAGCCGCGGUAAUACGAAGGGACCUAGCGUAGUUCGGAAUUACUGGGCUUAAAGAGUUCGUAGGUGGUUGAAAAAGUUGGUGGUGAAAUCCCAGAGCUUAACUCUGGAACUGCCAUCAAAACUUUUCAGCUAGAGUAUGAUAGAGGAAAGCAGAAUUUCUAGUGUAGAGGUGAAAUUCGUAGAUAUUAGAAAGAAUACCAAUUGCGAAGGCAGCUUUCUGGAUCAUUACUGACACUGAGGACGAAGCAUGGGUAGCGAAGAGGAUUAGAUACCCUCGUAGUCCAUGCCGA
rnacentral:rRNA from 1 species